rnacentral:lncRNA from 1 species
AUGGGAGGAAUUAAUGUACACGGACAGGACUUAGUCUUCAUUAUUACAGAGAAGGGGGGGAGAGGGGGGGAGAGAGGGGGAGAGAGAGGGGAGAGAGAGGGGAGGGGGAGAGAGGGGGAGGGGGGGGGGAGAGAGGGAAAGAGGAGAGGGGGAGAGAGAGAGAGGAGAGGGGGAGAGAGAGAGAGGAGAGGGGGAGAGAGGAGAGGGGGAGAGAGGGAAAGAGGAGAGGGGGAGAGAGAGAGGAGAGGGGGAGAGAGGAGAGGGGGAGAGAGGGAAAGAGGAGAGGGGGAGAGAGAGAGAGGAGAGGGGGAGAGGGGGAGAGAGGAGAGGGGGAGAGAGGGAAAGAGGAGAGGGGGAGAGAGAGAGGGAGAGAGGGGGAGAGAGAGGAGAGGGGAGAGAGGGAAAGAGGAGAGGGGGAGAGAGAGAGGGGAGAGGGGGGAGAGAGGAGAGGGGAAAGGGAAAAGAGAGAGGGAGAGAGGGGGAGAGAGGGGGAGAGGGGGAGAGAGGGAAAGAGGAGAGGGGGAGAGAGAGAGGGGAGAGGGAGGAGAGAGGAGAGGGGGAGAGAGGGAAGAGGAGGGGGGAGAGGGAGAGAGAGAGGGGAGAGGGGAGAGAGGGGGAGAGAGGGGGAGAGAGAGGGGAGGGGGAGAGAGGGGAGGGGGGGAGGGGAGAGAGGGAAGAGGAGAGGGGGAGGAGAGGAGAGAGGAGAGGGGAGAGAGGAGAGGGGGAGAGAGGGAGGGAGAGGGGGGAGAGAGAGAGGGAGAGAGGGGAGAGGAGAGGGGGAGAGAGGAGGGGGAGAGAGGGAAAGAGGAGAGGGGAGAGAGCGAGAGGGAGAGGGGAGAGAGGGGGAGAGAGGAGAGGGGAGAGAGGGAAGAGGAGAGGAGAGAGGAGAGGGAGAGGGAGAGGAGAGGAGAGGAGAGGGGAGAGGGGGAGAGAGGAGAGGGGAGAGAGGGAGGGGAGGGGGGGAGAGAGGAGAGGGGGAGAGAGAGGGGAGGGGGGAGAGAGGGGGAGGGGAGAGAGAGAGGAGGGGGAGAGAGGGAAAGAGGAGAGGGGAGAGAGAGAGGGGAGAGAGGGGAGAGAGAGGAGGAGAGGGGGAGAGAGGGAAAGAGGAGAGGGGGAGAGAGGAGAGAGGAGAGGGGAGAGGAGAGGAGAGGGAGAGAGGAGAGGGGGAGAGAGAGAGGGGAGAGAGAGGGGGAGAGAGAGGAGAGGGGGGAGAGAGGAAAGAGGAGAGGGGGAGAGAGAGAGAGGAGGGAGAGGGGGAGAGAGAGAGAAGUAGAGGGGGAGAGAGAGAGAAGUAGAGGGGGAGAGAGAGAGAGGAGAGGGGGAGAGAGGAGAGGGGAGAGGAGAGAGAGAGAGGAGAGGGGAGAGAGGAGAGGGGGAGAGAGAGAGAGGAGAGGGGGAGGAGAGAGGGAAAGAGGAGAGGGGGAGAGGGGGAGAGAGGAGAGGGGGAGAGAGAGAGAGGAGAGGGGGAGAGGGGGAGAGAGGAGAGGGGCAGAGAGGAGAGGGGGAGAGAGAGAGGGAGAGAGAGGGGGAGAGAGAGGAGAGGGGAGAUAG